GCAGACACAUUCCAGCCAAUCAGCAGCAGACCCUCCCUCCCAGAUCCUCCCACCUCCUGGACAGCAUCCAUUGUGAAGCUGCAUUCUUACUGAGCUGUCCAGGAGGUGGGAGGGUCUGGGAGGGAGGGUCUGCUGCUGAUUGGCUGGAAUGUGUCUG